rnacentral:misc_RNA from 1 species
GCAAACUUGGUCAUUUAGAGGAAGUAAAAGUCGUAACAAGGUUUCCGUAGGGUAAGUUAUUGUCUCUUGUACCUUUUUAAGUAAUAUUUACUAACUAGUUAAUAGUGAACCUGCGGAAGGAUCAUUACUGAGUUAGGGUCUUCUCGGCCCAACCUCCAACCCUUUGUCUACCUGACCUCUUGUUGCUUUGGCGAGCCUGUCUCUAGGGGCUGCCAGAGGCCUUACAGGCCUUCGGAUUGCGCUCGCCAAAAGCCCUUUAUAAACUCUUGCUGAAAUGUGGCGUCUUAUCCAAAACACUUAAAAAGCAAAAACUUUCAACAACGGAUCUCUUGGUUCUGGCAUCGAUGAAGAACGCAGC